GUAGAGAAUGACAUUUUUAUAUUUAAAAGGGGUCAAGACUUUUUGAUAGCAGGAAAUCAAUUAUGUUAGAAUUCUGUCGUGACUCGAAUUCAGAACCUUCUAUUUUGAUAUCAUAUUAAAUUAUAGAAAAAAUUUGUUUUUCUCUAAAAGUUAAUCUCCUAAAGUUUUUGGUGAACCACGGUUGUUUCAUAUAAUUUAACAUUUAUCCCUAAGAUAAGGUAUGUUAGUUUCAUUAGAGGUGAAAUUUAGGUUGAAAUAAAUUUUUGGGCGAAAAAGAGUUUAUGGUGAAAAUUAUUCAUCUUCUGAAACUUUUUCGGUUCAUUUAUUUAUUUGGCAAGGAAUGAAUAACGGUAAAGCUAAAUAU
rnacentral:lncRNA from 1 species